AAAUAACGCCAAUGUUAUGGUUUCUUUAUUCUCACUUAUGUCUGACAUAGUGACAUUAUUACUGAUAUUAUAAAUGACAUAGCCAUUAAGUGACGGACAGAGGUUUAAAGCACGUAUUGGUUCCAAAACAUCUCGACCCUGCAUGGGCCAAUGUGACGGAGAAGAGGAGGCUGUCCCGCUGCAGUCCUGUCCGUGGACCGUACAAGGCCGGCUGCUAAGCGCACUCACACCUCACAAACACAGAACGCAACGGUAGCUGAGCAGGUGGGGAUGUCGUCCAAACAUGCUACAUCGUGUUACCAUGGACACGACCAACGUUACCGUCGAGAAUUGAUCUCAAUCCAUCUGUUGAGUAGUAAUUAUGCUUUCUACGCAACCAUUUAGUGUUUCCGUUCACCAGUCCCUCAACAGGGCCAUAGUGGUGAGGCCGGUCCACU
ensembl:lncRNA